CGGCAGGCAGACUCUCAACCACUGCGCCACCAGGGAAGCCCGUUCUGCACAUUUUAAUAAACAUAAAGCAGGCCUCUGAAGAGAAGGCCAGAAAAGUCUACUCUGGAUUAACAGAGUUGACUCCAUUGGACAUUUAAGGGCUAAGCUACCGCUAAGCGUGCCUGCCGAUCUGCUAGACCGCACAGCUCCCGAUCUCACCUGCUUUCAAGAAAUAGCAAUUCUGUGAUCUAACAUAUCAACAGUUGUUAUCUGGAUAGAGAGCUUAUUGGUCAUUUUGAGGAAAUAAAGAGGUUCUCCUCCAAAGGCUCCUAGUCCAAUUGGAUAUGCAAACCCAGAUGUAAGGACUACACAAAGGCACAGCACCUUGCCAGGCACUCAAACUUGGAAGAGGACAUCAGCCCUCCUCUAGUCUCCAGAGACAGACUGUGACCUCAGAGGAGGAAAAGGUCUUGCCUGUUGGUUCUGGGCUGUUAAGCCCAAGGCCUAGCUCAGGUGGGAUAAAUAUCUACUGAAUAAAUGAAACUGGAAUGAAGCGAAGUUUUAACUGGACCUUGAAGAGACUUCACUUCAUUACUCCUCAUCAUGAUCACAAAUUUGGGCCUGUUACUCUUCCCCCCAGUGGCCUGGUCCUUCAAGGUGGAAACUCUGUCUACCUCCCACUCUUCAGAAAUGGCCUCUCUAUAGGCAUCUAAGGUUACUGGCCACUCUUUCUUCAAAUAGACCCUGCACCCCUAGGUCCCCCUUCCCAAAUGUCAAAGGACUUCCUUACUCCUUAACUGGAUACCUUCUUAGAUUCUCCCUCCA